UCAACGCACCGCCUACAGUCUGCAAGGCUCGCCCUUUUCUUGUCGCGGCAUCCCUGCUAACCCAAUUUCUGCCUUUCAGCGCCUGGUAUUUUAAGCCGUCUCUCUUUUCGCUUUGCUGUAUUUGGCUUGCAUAAGGGACGGAAAACCCUAGCCCCUGCCCCAGCGCCCCCAUCGCCAUCGAAUCCCCUGCACCGUCAAAAUCAAGAUAAAUGAGGGAAGAGGGGUGGUUUGAGGGGGAAAGUGUGCUUACAGGCAACAAUUUAGGCAAUCUUGAGACCUCUGAAAAGGAAGAGUAAAGGCUGCUUUAAGUUCUGAGACAACAGGUCAGGAAACUACAAAUGUCUACUGUGGCUACUCCAGCCAGUGGUGACAAGAGAAAGGAGUCGCUGGGAAAUGACGGACAACUCUUAAUAGCUGAAGGACAUUUUCAAGUUGCCGCGGCGCUGGCGGCUGACAGCCCUCGGGCGCAGCCAGGGACCGGGCGCGCGCUCAGGCAGAGCGGUGCCACUCACGGCCCAGUCCCGCCCCCCCAUGCCGGCGGCCAAUGGGAGCCGGUGGGCGGACUCACGCUGCACUUUAAGGAGCGGCGGGGCUCGGGAUCUGCAGAGCUGAGAGGAGGGCGGCGGCGGUGGUGUGAGGCUGUCACCAUGUCCCUGCAGGCUGAUUUUGAUAGAGCUGCAGAAGACGUGAGGAAGCUGAAAACAAAGCCAGAUGAUGAAGAACUGAAAGAACUCUAUGGGCUCUACAAACAGUCUAUAAUUGGAGACAUUGAUAUUGAGUGUCCAGCAAUGUUAGAUUUAAGAGGCAAAGCUAAAUGGGAAGCAUGGAACCUCCAAAAAGGGUUGUCAAAGGAAGAUGCCAUGAGCGCUUACAUUUCCAAAGCAAAAGAGCUGAUAGAAAAAUAUGGAAUUUAGCAUUCAGCAUAUGAUAAAGUUUUCCUUCUGAAGCCUUCACAAUGGUAUCAUGACCUAACAUUUAGGGUAGAAAUGCACUGUUAAUUCCUUAUGUAUCAUGAAUAUGUUUGCUAUUAACAUGAAUUGUAACCCUUAACUAGAGGUAGGCUGAAACUAUAUUUAACAAAAUUUUACUCGCUAAUUCCACGUAAUUUUCAAAAUUGUUUUAAAUGACAGUAUGUGCACAAAAACAUUAACAAUUGUUAGGUUUUUUUGACUGAUCUGUUUUUCUACAGAGUCUUACUGGUGUAUAAUCAAAACAGUUUAUUAAUAACCAAUAACAAGGAGAAACUUUGUUGCACUGUGCAGCUUUGGGGUUCACCCUGAUGUAGGGCCUUGACAGUCACAGGUGUACCUGUCCAGUCUGUCCUCGGUGAUUUAUUUUCUUGGUGACCUGAGGUUGAGCCUCCUCUAUAGACUAGGGAAAAAGAUAUCUGCCUCACAGGGUUAUAAGAAUUGAAUAAGGUAAUGGUAAUUCUCCAACCUUCAUUUUUUUUUAGGUUGAAUGACCAUAUUUUAAUAUUAUGACAGUUUGGGUUUUGGAAGAGCAUCAGUUCAUCCUGUAUCUACAACUACAGACUGCAGAUUGUUUCUGAGUUGGUAUUCCAGUAGCUUGUGUAGUUCUUUGAUGUAGUGAAAUGUCUUUUUUAAGUUGACCCUGUAUGUUUUACAUAUUCAGAAAUCAAGCUCCUGUGGGUGGACUACUUGGAAUGGUUCAGUAAAAGCUAUAACCUCAGUUUUCAAAUCCUCAGAUCUAUGACCUGUCUCAUCAAUGACAGUGAUACUAGAAGAAUCCCCAUCUGCUCUGGAUGUUUGUGUUGCUUUCUCUCCUACUCUUUUAUAACCAAGAGAGUCUUCUGCUUCCAAGGCUCCAGGUGAGGGUAUUUUCCAAGAUAAUCUCUUUGAGCUGCAGCUUCAGAAAAAUUGUCAAUGUGCUGCUGUGGAAGACUCUUAGAGGAACUCUUGGUAUCACAAUCUAAGUCUUCAUCAUAUGAUGCAGGCCAUGAACUAAGACUGCCAAGUCAUCUGGAAAGAUUGCUUAAAGAGCCUUCUUCAGAAUGCCCAUUCCCUGGAGAAGACUUUCAAUGAUAAUUAUAUCUAAUGCAAACUUAUCUACAGCAGUCAUGAGUGCUGUUCUUUUACACUUAUCAAGAGCAUGUGCGUUUGCUCCUUGAGUUAGUAAAUACUCUACCAUUUGAUUAUUUUUUUCACUUAUACUAAGCAAAAGCAGUGUGAGGUCUUCCUUGUUCUUCACCUCGAUGUCUGUGUUGUGUGAAAGGAGCUGUGCCACUGUUAUUAAACUCUGACAACAAGCUGCAUAGUGGAGAGCAGUGUUGCCAUUGUCACUCACAUUGGGAUUGGCACCACAGUCUAGAAGAAUAUGUGCACAUUCCCCUUGCUGGCAUUGCACAGCCUUAAUCAGGGGUGUUCUCUUUCGGUUGUCAAAGAUAUUAAGCUCACAUUUUCUCUCUACCAGGAUAUUUACCUCUUCUGCAUGGCCUUUGGCACAGGCCAAAUGUAGAGCAGUCCCAGCACCCACACUCAGCCUCUCUCGAGGUCACUGCUUCUUUGGCAUCAUGCCCACUGGGCCAGGGCUCCAGACCCAGAUGCAGCCCCGCCCACAGCAACCACACAGAGGCUUCUCCCCGUGCACGCGGCCAACUGGGCCAGACCAGAGGCUGCCCCCUCCCCGCAGUUGACUGGCACAGACAGGAGAGACCAGCAGAGUCCAGAAAGCACAAAGGGGCUUUAUUCUCACAGCGAACACACGCUUCUUGCCUGCAACACCCGCCAGUGCCCUAGGCCAUCCCAAAGGCCGUCCCGCACAUGGCAGCUCAGGGGAUUAACCCAGACGCUGCCGCCUGUGCAUGGUUGAUGGGCACAGAAAGAGGAAGUCUGCACAAAGUCCGGGAAGCACGUAGGGACUCUGUUCUCAUAGUGAACACGUGCUGCUCGCCUGGAACCACCGUGAGUGCCCUAGGCCAUCCUGAGGGCCGACCUGCCCAUGGCCGCUCAGAGGAUUAACCCAGAGGCUGCUCCCUGAGUUCAGUUGACCAGCACAUGCAGCGGAGAAGGGCAAGGUGACCAGCAAACAGGAAGGGACUUUGUUUUCCCAGCUGACACAAGCGCCACUUACUGGUGCUUCCAUGUUGAUCACUUCCAUCAACAUGAAAAGGCAGAAGAACCUUGUUCAGUGCAAAAUCUCUCAAACACCAGAGAGAGGGCCUGGAGAGACCAAAAUCACCAAUCUUCCUGAAAAAGAAUUCAAAAUAAAAGUCAUAAGCAUGCUGAUGAGGCUAUAGAGAAAUAUUCAAGACCUAAGGGAUGAAUGCCAGAGGGAGAUAAUAGAAUGAAACAAACAAUGGAAGGGUUUAAGAGCAGACUGGAUGAGGUGCAAGAGGCCAUUAAUGGAAUAGAAAUCACAGAAUAGAAAUACAGAGAAGCUGAGGCAGAGAGACAUAAAAGGAUCUCUAGUAAUGAAAAAAUAUGAAGAGAACUGUGUGACAAAUCCAAAUGGAACAAUAGCCGCUUUGUAGGGGUACCAGAAGAAGAAGAGAGAGAAAAAGGUAUAGAAAGUGUCUUUGAACAAAUAAUUGCUGAGAAAUUCCCCAAUCUAGGGAAGAAAAUAGUCUCUCAAGCCACGGAAGUCCACAGAUCUCCCAAUACAAAUGACCCAAGGAGGUCAACACCAAGAAAUAUAAUUAAAAUGGCAAAGAUCAAAGACAAGGACAGAGUAUUAAAAGCAGCCAGAGAGAGAAAAAAGAUCACCUACAAAGGAAGACCCAUCAGGCUAUCAUCAGACUUCUCAGCAGAAACUUUACAGGCCAGAAAGGAAUUACAUGAUAUAUUCAAUGCAAUGAAACAGAAGGCCCUUGAAUCAAGAAUAUUGUAUCCAGCAAGAUUAUCAUUUAAAUUUGAAGGAGGGAUUAAACAAUUUCCAGAGAAGCAAAAGUUGAGGGAAUUUACCUCCCACAAACCAUUUCUACAGUGUAUUUUAAGGGAACUGCUCUAGAUGGAAGCACUCCUAAGUCACCAGAGAUAAUAAAACCACAGCAAAGAAAGCAGACCAACCAAAUACUAACUAAAUGCAAAAUAAAAUCAGCUAUCCACAAAAUCAGUCAAAGGAAACAAAAGAGUACAGAAUAAAACACCUAACAUAUGCAGAGUAGAGGAGGAAGAAAAAGAAGGGAGAGAAAUAAAGAAUGAUCAGACUGCAUUUAUAAUAACAUAAUAAGUGAAUUAAGUUAGACAGAUAGUAAAGAAGCUACCUUUGAACCUUUGGUAACCAUGAAUCCAAAGCCUGCAAUGGAAAUAAGUACAUACCUAUCGAUAAUCACUCUAAAUGCAAAUGGAUGGAAUGCACCAAUCAAGACACACAGAGUUACAGAAUGGAUAAAAAAGCAAGACCCAACUAUAUGCUGCCUACAAGAGACUCAUCUCAAACCCAAAGAAAUACACAGAAUAAAAGUGAAGGGAUAGAAAAAGAUACUUCAUGCAAACAAUAGAGAGAAAAAAGCAGGUGUUACAGUACUUGUAUCAGACAAAAUAGACUUCAAAACAAAGAAAGUAACAAGAGACAAAGAUGGGCAUUACAUAAUGAUAAAGGGGUCAGACCAACAAGAGGAUAUAACCAUUAUAAAUAUCUAUGCAGCCAACACAGGAGCACCUAUAUAUGUGAAACAAAUACUAACAGAAUUAAAGGGGGAAAUAGAAUGCAAUGUAUUCAUUUUAGGAGACUUCAACACACCACUUACUCCAAAGGACAGAUCAAUGAGACAAAAAAGUAAGGAGACAGAGGCACUGAAAAACACACUAGAACAGAUGGACCUAACAGACAUCUACAGAACUCUACACCCAAAAGCAGCAGGAUACACAUUCUUCUCAAGUUCACAUGGAACAUUUUCCAGAAUACAUCACAUACCUGGCCACAAAAAGAGCCUCAGUAAAUUCAAAAAGAUUGAAAUUGUACCAACCAUCUUCUCAGACCACAAAGGUAUAAAAUUAGAGAUAAAUAGUACAAAGAAAACAAAACGGUUCACAAACACAUAGAGGCUUAACAACAUGCUCCUAAAUAAUCAAUGGAUCAAUGACCAAAUUAAAGCAGAUAUCAAGCAAUAUAUGGAGACAAGUGAAAACAACAGCAAAAUGCCCCAACUUCUGUGGGACGCAGCGAAGGCAGUUCUAAGAGGAAAUUAUAUAGCAAUCCAGGCCUAUUUAAAGAAGGAAGAACAAUCCCAAAUGAAUAGUCUAAAUUCACAAUUAUUGAAACAGGAAAAAGAAGAACAAAUGAGGCCCAAAGUCAGCAGAAGGAGUGACAUAAUAAGAUCAGAGAAGAAAUAAGCAAAAUUGAGAAGAAUAAAACAAUAGAAAAAAGUCAAUGAAACCAAGAGCUGGUUCUUUGAGAAAAUAAACAAAUAGAUAAACCCCUAGCCAGACUUAUUAAGAGAAAAAGAGAAUCUACACACAUAAACAGAAUCAGAAAUGAGAAAGGAAAAAUCAUGACAGACACCACAGAAAUACAAAGAAUUAUUAGAGAAUACUAUGAGAAUCUGUAUGCUAACAAACUGGAUAACCAAGAAGAAAUGGACACUUUCUAGAAAAAUACAACUUUCCAAGACUGACCAAGGAAGAAUCGGAAAAUCUAAACAGACCAAUUACCAGCAACGAAAUUGAAUCAGCAAUCAAAAAACCACCCAAGAACAAAACCCCUGGACAAGAUGGAUUCACCGCUGAAUUUUAUCACACAUUUACAGAAGACAUAAUACCCAUUCUCCUUCAAGUUUUCCAACAAAUAGAAGAGGAGGGAAUACUUCCAAACUUAUUCUAUGAAGCCAGCAUCACUUUAAUACCAAAAUCAGGCAAAGAGACCACAAAAAAAGAAAAUUGCAGACCAAUAUCCCUGAUGAACAUAGAUGCAAAAAUACUCAACAAAAUACUAGCAAACUGAAUUCAAAAAUACAUCAAGAGGAUCAUACACCAUAAUCAAGUGGGAUUCAUCUCAGGGAUGCAUGGAUGGUACAACAUUCGAAAAACCCAUCAACAUCAUCCACCACAUCAACAAAAAGGACAAAAACCACAUGAUCAUCUCCAUAGAUGCUGAAAAAGCAUUCAACAAAAUUUAACAUCCAUUCAUGAUAAAAACUCUCAACAAAAUGGGUAUAGAGGGCAAGUACCUAAACAUAAUAAAGGCAUCAUUUGACAAACCCACAGCCAAUAUCAUACUUAACAGCGAGAAGCUGAAAGCUUUUCCCCUAAGAUUGGGAACAAGACAAGUCUGCCCACUCUCCCCACUUCUUUUCAACAUAGUUCUGGAGGUCCUUACCAUGGCAAUCAGACAACACAAAGAAAUAAAGGCCUCAUACUGGUAAAGAAGACACCAAACUGUCACUAUUUGCAGAUGACAUGAUAUUGUACAUAAAAAACCCUAAAGAAUCCACUCCAAAACUACUACAACUAACAUCUGAAUUCAGCAAAGUUGCAGGAUACAAAGUCAAUACACAGAAAUCUGUUGCAUUCCUAUACACUAAAUACACUAAUGAUGAACUAGCAGAAAGAGAAAUCAGGAACACAAUUCCAUUCAGAAUUGCAUCAAAUAGAAUAAAAUACCUAGGAAUAAACCUAACCAAGGAAAUGAAAUACCUAUGCCCUGUAAACUACAAGACACUCUUAAGAGAAAUUAAAGAGAACACUAAUAAAUGGAAAUUCAUCCCAUGCUCUUGGCUAGGAAGAAUUAAUAUUGUCAAAAUGGCCAUCCUGCAUAAAGCAAUCUACACAUUCAAUGCAAUUCCUAUCAAAAUACCAAUAGCAUUCUUCAACAAACUGGAACAAAUUGUUCUAAAAUUCAUAUGGAACCAUAAAAGACCCCGAAUAGCCAAGGCAAUCCUGAGAAGGAAGAAUAAAGCAGGGGAAUCAUGCUCCCUGACUUCAAGCUCUACUACAAAGCUGCAGUAAUCCAGACAAUUUGGUACUGGCACAAGAACAGACCCACAGACCAGUGGAACAGAAUAGAGAGUCCAGAUAUUAACCCAAGCAUAUAUGGUCAAUUACUAUAUGAUAAAGUAGCCAUGGACAUACAAUGGGGAAAUGACAGCCUCUUCAACAGCUGGUGUUGGCAAAACUGGACAGCUACAUGUAAGAGAAUGAAACUGGGUUAUUGUCUAACUCCAUACACAAAAGUAAACUCAAAAUGGAUCAAAUACCUGAAUGUAAGUCAUGAAACGAAACCAUAAAACUCUUAGAAAAAAACGUAAGCAAAAAUCUCUUGGACAUAAACAUGAGCAACUUUCUUCAUGAACAUAUCUCCCCGGGCAAGAGAAACAAAAGCAAAAAUGAACAAGUGGGACUAUAUCAAACUAAAAGCUUGUGUACAACAAAGGACACCAUCAGUAGAACAAAAAAGGCAUUCUACAGUAUGGGAGAAUAUAUUCAUAAAUGACAUAUCCAAUAAAGGGUUCACAUCCAAAAUGUAUAAAAAGCUCACGCACCUCAACAAACAAAAAGCAAACAAUCCAUUUAAAUAUGGGCAGAGGAUCUGAACAGACACUUCUCCAAAGAAGAAAUUCAUAUGGCCAACAAGCACAUGAAAAGAUGCUCCACAUAGUUAAUCAUCAGAGAAAUGCAAAUUAAAACCAUAAUGAGAUAUCACCUCACACCAUCCAAAAGACAAACAACAAGAAAUGUUGGUGAGGAUAUGGUGAAAGGGGAACCCUCCUACACUGCUGGUGGGAAUAUAAAUUAGUUCAACCAUUGUGGAAAGCAGUAUGGAGGUUCCUCAAAAAACCAAAAAUCGAAAUACCAUUUGACCCAGAAAUUCCACUUGUAGGGAUUUAUCCUAAGAAUGCAUGAGCCCAGUUUGAAAAAGACAUAUGCACCCGUAUGUUUAUUGCAGCACUAUUUACAAUAGCCAAGAAAUGGAAGCAACCUAAGUGUCCGUCAGUAGAUGAAUGGGUAAAGAAGAUGUGGUACAUAUACACAAUGGAAUAUUAUUCAGCCAUAAGAAGAAAACAAAUCUUACUAUUUGCAACCACAUGGAUGGAGCUAGAGAGUAUUAUGCUCAGUCAAAUAAGCCAGGCAGAGUAUGACAAGUAUCAAAUGAUUUCACUCAUCUGUGGAGUAUAAGAGCAAAGCAAAAACUGAAGGAACAAAACAGCAGCAGAAUCACAGAACCCAAGAAUGGACUAACAGUUACCAAAGGGAAAGGGACUGGGGAGGAUGGUUGCAACAGGAGGGAUAAGGGAAAAAAAGGGCAUUAUGAUUAGCACCCAUAAUGUAGGGGGCACGGGAGGGCAAUAUAACACAGAGAAGACAAGUAUUGAUUCUAUUGCAUCUUACUACGCUGAUGGACAGUGAAUGUAAUGGGGUAUGUGAUGGAGACUUGAUAAUAGGGGUAGUCUAGUAAGUAUAAUGUUGCUCAUGUGAUUGUACAUUAAUGAUACCAAAAUAAAAGAAAAAAAUAGGCAAGCAUCAGUAGUUGUAGAUAUUUGGUUAUGUAGUUCUAAGGUCUGAUGAAAGUUUCCAUAAAAUGAAAGUGAUUUCAUGGAAGCAUAUAAAUAUCAAACUUCCACCGGUUACAUUUUUUCAUGCUAAGAAUAAAAUUAUAACAAAUGACACUGCACAACAAGAAAAGAUUCACUCUCAGGUUAACUUACUUUUCCUAAGUCCUAACACCAGUGGUAGAUUUACCUCCACAGACUCAGGUUCUGGGAGUGCUGUAUUUUUAAUUUCUCUAAGACCUAUCAGGAUCCAGGUAUUACCUGCAUCUCCCAUUUUACACACAACCAGCAUCUUCAUUUACCUGAAAUAAAACUUGGGCCAAUUUUCUCCUCAUUGCAUUCUUCCCCUUUUGCUGUUUCUAGCAAUAGAAACAUUUUUACCAGUGGUCCUCUCAUAGGUCCUUUGUCCCCCUCCAGCCAUUCCCCACACUACCCAGAGGGAUAACAGUCAAGUUUGGUCACGAGGCAACUUAAAUCCAUUUGGUGACUGUCACUCAUGGGACCAGAGUCCUUUAUGGGGUAUGGCUUGGCCCUGACCUACCUCUUCUGCCUCAGUUUGUCACAGUUUCCCCUUUCCUCUCUGAAUGCUCGCCAUUAGUUUGCACUCCUUCUAUCCCUUCCUCCCCUGCUGCCUCUCUCCCCUCUGCCGAAGGCUGUCCUGUCCAGAUCUCAGAGCCGACUCCAUUUCCCACAGGAGAUCCUGUUUGACGCUCCCCCAACCCAUCCAGUGUUCUCCGAUCACCCUGAACUUAGUAGCACUUAAUCUCUCUCUAGUCAUCUGAUUACUUCCUUAAUGUCUAUCUGGGAGCUGCAGGGGAAAGGGAUGUGUUCAUCCAUGUGUCCCCAGGGGCUGACACAGCACCAGCCCCCAAUUCAGUAAAUGUUUGUUGCUGUCAUAAUUAGACUGAAAAUAGAUGGAACUAAUUCAUGGUCCUGCUUGUGUCAGUCUGCUUUUGUUCUGUGCAGAGCAACCCUCUGCUGACUCUGGAGAGCUGGGACCUGAGGGGUGGUUGUCUCUGGGAAUGGUGGUUAAAGGCACUUGUAACCAGCCUCACCCUGAGUUGGACUAGGUGCACAGGGGCCAUCCUGUUGCCACUUAUAUUGUUCCAUAAGUAAGAUGACCUUGAAAAAUGCCCUGGGCCACAGUGAGUCUCAGAGAGGUACUGACAGAAGUACCCCUGAUAAAGGUCUCAUGGAAGGUUCAAAACUCUUCUUAAAACUUAGCUGGUUUUGCAAACUAGAAAUCAAAUUCCAAGAAGAAACAGGCCCCUGUGAGGACAGGAAGGACAGAAGAAAUGUGCUCAAAUCCAGGUGUAAAAAAUAUUUACCUCAGCACCUGUUUUAUACAUGGUAUCUGGCUUUCAACACAAAAAGUCAUUAGACACAAAAGCAAGAAAUAACUCCACCGACAAGGGGCAAUGAAAUCAAAAGAAUAAGAUAAGGCACAGAUGUUGAAACUAUCAGACAGGGACUUCACAAUAGCCAUGACAGAGUGGGGUUAGACUUCAGAGAGGGGAAGACUCAAAAGUCCAGUGGAGAUUAUGGCGUAAGCGACAGCGACAGUGAGGAAUUCCUUGGAUAGGCUCAGGAGUAGACUCCGCACAGCUGGUGAAAGGAAUCAGUGACCCUGAAGAUGGGUCAAUAGAAAUUACCCAGACUGAAGGGCAAAAACAAGAUGGAUAUGGGAGAGCCUGGGACAGAAACAGCCCAGAGCGGGAGCCAGGGUCCCGGGAGAGGAGAGGGCAGCACGUGGUCCUGCAGGUGGGGCGGGCGGCCGGGCCGUGCUUGGGAGCAGCCCCGCUUCCCCGCCUGCCACAGAUUGCCAUUUUGCCUCCAGGAUCCAGCCUCGCUGCCCUUUUUCUGCCAGAAAUCACCAAUUUUGUCCGUGAGGUAAAAGCUACCCAGAGAAGGCUGAGAUGGAGAAAGUAUUCUAAAAACGGGAUCAAAUGACUGGUCAAACGGGAGACCUCUGCAAGGAGAUCCCAGAAUUGCAGCCUUCUAGCCGAAGUGGGCGCGACCAGCCCGGAAACUACUGAAGCACCAGACCUUAAGACUAAAAGAAACCGAAUAUAGGCUCUGCCUAAAAGAGCAGGAGGAAACACGGAAUCCCCGGCCCACUGGACACAUCUCAGAAACCGAGGCGGCGUGCAGAGCGGAAAGGGCGGAGCCUGAGCUUCCGGCGGCCCCGCGGCGGCGUGUCCCUUCGCCCCUGGGUCCAGCCCUCCUUGGUUACCCUCGCUCGGCCGACCUGGAGAGGCCGAAUCACCCGUCCGGGAUCUGUCAGGAGAGGGCGGCGGCGCUCGUGUUCCCCACUCAGGAUCCAUGGGCUGGGUAGCGGGAAGCCAACUGUUGUGGACUAGGGGACUCGCGUCUCCUAGCAACGAGUCGCUAGGAAGGACCCGGUCAUUCAGGCCCGCCCCCUGCAGACAGGCCUUCAUUCUUACCGGCGCGGGUGGGUGGAGCAGAGGGCCCACUUUGGAAAAUCAAAGUUGAUCCCAGGGUGAGAACCUUGCAAGGGCUCAUCCCGAAGCAGAGGUGGAGAGCGAAAUAAUGUUCUUUGCUGCUGCUUCAGCCUCAGACAGAAUUCGCCAAGACAGCAGAUAAGAGAACAGGGACCAUUGGCAAUUCUGAUCCCUGAUAGUAGAUUCUAUCUGUCCCCCUACCCCACGCCCCCACCACCGCCCUUGCCAUUUUGUUGACAUUAAAUGAACCAAUCUGUAAGGUGGAGCAUAGUGCCUGACAAUUAGCCUAUAAUAAUUGACAUCUGUAACUUAAAUGAUUUUCCUCUAUCAUUUUCAUUAUAUUUAAAAUACUAUUUACUUACAACUCUCAAUUUAUUUCUUCAACCCAAAUCUCUCUAACUCUAGAUUUGUAUAUCUUGUGUAAAUUCAGUAUCCACUUGGUUGUCCAAAACAACCUCCCAUCAAGUGCCCCCCAGACGUGCUCCUUCCACAUUCUUCUGCUUUGAGUGGAUGGUCCUGGAAUCCACCCUUUCUCAUGUCUUCAACAUCCAUCCUUCAGCAAAACCUGUUGGCUUUACUGCUCCCAUCCAGUCCAAGCCACCAUCAUGUUUCCCACUCUGGUUACUACAAAAGGUCUCUCCUAACAGGUCCCUCUUGUUCCCCAUAGUCUCUUCUCAACACAUUAAUCAGUGUGAUCUGUUUAAAACAUAAGUCACCCUUACGUCAUUUCUCUGCUCACAAUCCUGCAGUGGCUCCUCAUUAAAACCAAAGCCCUACAAGACUUGCAUACAACUCCUCUGUACUUGCUCUGUGACCCUGGCGUACUCCAUCCCAUGCACACUGGCAACCUGGCUGUUCCUGGCCUAGCUUUCACACUGAGAACUUUGUAGUUGUUCCCUCUGCCUGGAAUGGUCUUCCUCCAUUUAUCCCCUUGGCUAAUUUCCUCAUCUUCAAGUCUUUGUUAAUAUCUCAACUUGCCCAUUCCCAUCCCUCUUGCUCCCUCCUCCCAUCAUGUUCUCUACCUACCUUACUAUGUUCUGGUAUUUCUGUCUUCCAGAGUAUGUAUCACUUUCUAAUACAUUAUUUCUUAAUUUUAUUGUUUAUCUUCCACUAGAAUGUAAUUUGCAUAAAGACAGAAAUCUUGCUAACCAAUUUCCCAGAAAAGUGCCUAGCACACAGUAGGUGCCAGAGCAAUACAUUUUAAAUGAAUGAGUUUCAGCACCAGGGCCACUAUGAUGCUCUGGAGGCAUUAUAGUGUCAUGGCUGGGAGCAUGGUGUUUAAGGCAUGACCUUAGAUUUUACUCUGGUUUCUACUACUUAACUUGCAACAUGACCUUGUGCAAGUUACUUAACCUCAGUUUCCUUAACUGUAAAAUGAGGGCAGAAUUGUACAUAUCUGAUGGGGUAGUUGUGAAGAUGAAAUAAUAAAUAUAAAUCAUUUAAGACAGUAUCUAGAACUGCAUCAAUGACAGAUAUUUCUAGAAUGGGCACUCCAUCACCACAUGGAUUUUUCUCUACUCAAUACUAUGUCUUUAGUGCCUAUAAAAGUGUUUGGCACAUAGUAGAUGGCCAAGGACUAUUUGCUGAUUUGAAGAAAUGAAUCCAUUCCAUCACAUUUCCUGGAGCAUUGUGGCUUCUUACCCAGACUUCCUACCCCAGACUACCUGAGUGUUCUUUCUAAACUCAAAACUUAGAUUAAGCACCCAUGAGAAUUCCCUGGAGAAUGUGUUAGAACAGAUUACUUGACCCCAUACCCAGAGUUUCUGAUUCAGUAAGUCUAGGCUGGGAUGGAAACUUUUUAUUUCUCAUAGGUUCCCAUAUACUGUUGGUCAUGCUCUUCCAGGAUCUAAACUAAGAAAUUCUGUUCUAAUCUCACCUGUCACUCUCUUGUUUUGAACCACGUAGGCUUCCAACUACUGCUCAAGUUAAAGUUUAAACUCUUUGGCUUGGUGUACAAGGCCUUCAGGGUCUGGUCCCUUCUUAGCUGAUUUUGCUUUGACUUCCCUUGUUAAGUCCCUAUUAUUUAACCCCUUUUGAGCCUGGUACUUUGGUUAAAAGGAACUAUUUGCAGUGCCCAGAUUGAAUAAAAAUCUCAGUCCGGGGACUUCAC